rnacentral:lncRNA from 1 species
GCCAGGGAGUGGUGGGGCCAUGUGGAGUUUGUUACAGAGGGCGGAGUGGGGUAGUGUCCGUUGUUGUGACUUGCCAGAGAGUUCGGGCCUGACAGCUGAAGCUCGGCUGUGACGUCUGAUGGAGCGGAAUGGCUCUCUAUCUCAGUAAUCUAAGAGAAGCUCGGAUGUUUUCAAGGUUGCUGACGAGUCCACUAUCAUCGGGUGCCUUGGGC